GAUGAACGCUGGCGGCGUGCCUAACACAUGCAAGUCGAGCGGUAUUCAUGAGGACGAAACUUCGGUCUAGAAAUCAUGAUGAGAGCGGCGGACGGGUGAGUAACGCGUAGGCAACCUGCCCUUAGCACAGGGAUAGCCUCGGGAAACCGGGAUUAAAACCUGAUAAUGCCAAACAGUCACAUGGCUGUUUGGCCAAAGAUUUAUCGGCUAAGGAUGGGCCUGCGUCUGAUUAGUUAGUUGGUGGGGUAACGGCCUACCAAGACGACGAUCAGUAGCCGACCUGAGAGGGUGAUCGGCCACAUUGGAACUGAGACGCGGUCCAAACUCCUACGGGAGGCAGCAGUGGGGAAUAUUGCACAAUGGGCGAAAGCCUGAUGCAGCAACGCCGCGUGAGCGAUGAAGGCCUUUGGGUCGUAAAGCUCUGUCCUAGGGGACGAACACAAUGACGGUACCCUUGGAGGAAGCCCCGGUUAACUACGUGCCAGCCGCCGCGGUAACAC
rnacentral:rRNA from 1 species